GACGAACGCUGGCGGCGUGCUUAACACAUGCAAGUCGAACGGAAAGGCCCUGCUGUUGUGGGGUGCUCGAGUGGCGAACGGGUGAGUAACACGUGAGUAACCUGCCCUUGACUUUGGGAUAACUUCAGGAAACUGGGGCUAAUACCGGAUAGGAGCUCCUGCUGCAUGGUGGGGGUUGGAAAGUUUCGGCGGUUGGGGAUGGACUCGCGGCUUAUCAGCUUGUGGGUGGGGUAGUGGCUUACCAAGGCUUUGACGGGUAGCCGGCCUGAGAGGGUGGCCGGCCACAUUGGGCCUGAGCUACGGCCCAGUCUCCAACGGGAGGCAGCAGUGGGGAAUAUUGCACAAUGGGCGGAAGCCUGAUGCAGCAACGCCGCGUGCGGGAUGACGGCCUUCGGGUUGUAAACCGCUUUCGCCUGUGACGAAGCGUGAGUGACGGUAAUGGGUAAAGAAGCACCGGCUAACUACGUG
rnacentral:rRNA from 1 species